GGGCGAAUGGUUUAGUGGUAUAAUACUCCCUUAGCAUGUUAUCUUCAAUGAGCUCGUCCUUGGGAGUGGUCCAGGGUUCGAUUCCCUGUUCGUCCA